UUUAAUUCUCCAUCAGACCCGACCGCAUCCGUAUCUUCUUCCAAAGAAAACAGAAGCGGCGAUAGCGUCAAACGCAAUAGCAGGGUGCGCAUGAAUAGAAAGCAUCCCCUUACGCGUUUUUUUAUGCGGCGCUAGUAGAGAAUCAACCUAGAACUCCAGCGCGUCACCUUUUUCCCUCUCCGCUGUACAAACAGUUCGUCGCCAGCGAAAAGAUGCGUCCUUCGCAGGCCAAGUGGAGCGAUCUCCGCGAUUGCUCUUCCUUGGCCCAAGAUCGAGCGGCUCUCAUUGAUGAACUGUUGAGGAAUUGUACAGUGCUGUACGAAUUCAAGUUGUCUCCAGCUUUUCUUUUUCUUUGGCGAGAAAUUUCAAUUUUUGGGGGAUAGAAGGCAAAUCCCGUCUUUGCCCUUUUCUCGCCCAUUUCGAAAACCCUAGCUCCCUUCUAUAUAUAAUUGCUUUGGUUCUUUGUUGAGUGGGGUACUUUUCUUUGGUUUCAAAAAUUUUCUUUGGUAAAAAGAUUUUACAGAAACAAAUACAGCGGAUGUUCGAUAAAAAAAGAGUGUUUUUUUUACAGAAAGUUCUUUGAGCAAGGAAGUUCCUGAAUUUUGAAAAAAUUUUGGUUUAGGGAUAAAUAGCUCAAAAAUCGGGAGAAGACACUAACCUUUAGUUAUAAAAAUUCCACAUAAAUACUUAGGCAAAUAUAACGGGAGUUUAGGCGUAUUUUAGGUCUUUGUUCGUUUUCCUCGAUCAUUGAAAUUUCUUGGAACCGUCGAAAUUAGAUGCCCCUCUUUGCUCGUGCCGUCCCAAGUUCACUGCACUGUAAGAGUUUGUCGAGAACUGUUUCUUCCCCGCAUUUCGAAAAAAUCGUAAAGGCUUGAUUUCAUCUUUUUGAGUCUCCCCUGAAAACCGAUGAAUAGGUCUCCAACGUUGGAAAAUUGCAAGGCAGAAAGUCAAAGAGUGGAUGAAGUUUACCAAGGGGCCAAAUCUAUUUUACUAAAUUGUAUUUGUCAUUUUUGGGCCUAAGCCCUUGUUGUAUUCCUUUUCUGUACUUUCUUUUCGUAAUUAGUUUAUGACAGGUGGAAAUGGGUCAAAAACUCAAAAGAAAUUGUCUAAAUACCGUUCCAGGCGGACACAACCCGGGUUUGGGCCCAAACUCUCUCUCUCUCUCUCUCCCUUAUUUUUAUUACUUAUCUGCUUUUAUUUGUCGCUA